rnacentral:rRNA from 1 species
AGUGAACGCUGGCGGUAGGCCUAACACAUGCGAGUCGAACGGCAGCACAGUAAGAGCUUGCUCUUACGGGUGGCGAGUGGCGGAAGGGUGAGGAAUACAUCGGAAUCUACUUUUUCGUGGGGGAUAACGUAGGGAAACUUACGCUAAUACCGCAUACGACCUACGGGUGAAAGCAGGGGAUCUUCGGACCUUGCGCGAUUGAAUGAGCCGAUGUCGGGUUAGCUAGUUGGCGGGGUAAAGGCCCACCAAGGCGACGAUCCGUAGCUGGUCUGAGAGAAUGAUCGGCCACAUUGGAACUGAGACACGGUCCAGACUCCUACGGGAGGCAGCAGUGGGGAAUAUUGGACAAUGGGCGCAAGCCUGAUCCAGCUAUACCGCGUGGGUGAAGAAGGCCUUCGGGUUGUAAAGCCCUUUUGUUGGGAAAGAAAAGCAGCAGGUUAAUACCCCGCUGUUCUGACGGUACCCAAAGAAUAAGCACCGGCUAACUUCGUG